AUUGAACGCUGGCGGCAGGCCUAACACAUGCAAGUCGAACGGUAACAGGAAACAGCUUGCUGUUUCGCUGACGAGUGGCGGACGGGUGAGUAAUGUCUGGGAAACUGCCUGGUGGAGGGGGAUAACUACUGGAAACGGUAGCUAAUACCGCAUAACGUCGCAAGACCAAAGAGGGGGACCUUCGGGCCUCUUGCCAUCGGAUGUGCCCAGAUGGGAUUAGCUAGUAGGUGGGGUAACGGCUCACCUAGGCGACGAUCCCUAGCUGGUCUGAGAGGAUGACCAGCCACACUGGAACUGAGACACGGUCCAGACUCCUACGGGAGGCAGCAGUGGGGAAUAUUGCACAAUGGGCGCAAGCCUGAUGCAGCCAUGCCGCGUGUAUGAAGAAGGCCUUCGGGUUGUAAAGUACUUUCAGCGGGGAGGAAGGGAGUAAAGUUAAUACCUUUGCUCAUUGACGUUACCCGCAGAAGAAGCACCGGCUAACUCCGUG
rnacentral:rRNA from 1 species